GUCAAGAAAGACAAAUGUGGUGCCUGAUUUACAAAUGUAUGGUUAUUUGGAAUAUGUGUUGUUUGUUACUUUUUGUCUUUAGUUAGUUUGCCUAUUUUUGUCAGAUUAUUUGCCCAUUGAUAGAAGCCUAUGUGUGGUCCUUUUUAUGUAGUACUGUAUAUUGUACACUUCUAUCAUUGAAUAAAAUUGAGAAUGGAAAUAAGGAAUGUGUCAAAGAGACAACAACCUAACCAAAGAGCAGAAAACAGCCGAAGGCCACCAAUGGAUCUUCAACACUGAGAAAAUCCUGCACCAGGAUGGAGUGCUUCAGCUGGCCCCUAAACAAAAAUGUGUACUAGUACAGUGAUAAUGGACAUCUUACUUAACUACGAAAUAUGUAAUUAAAUGAACUAAAGUUAAAAAACA
rnacentral:lncRNA from 1 species